GAUGAACGCUGGCGGCGUGCUUAACACAUGCAAGUCGAACGAAGAAGCCCAGCUUGCUGGGUGGAUUAGUGGCGAACGGGUGAGUAACACGUGAGUAACCUGCCCUUAACUCUGGGAUAAGCCUGGGAAACUGGGUCUAAUACCGGAUAGGAGCGCCUACCGCAUGGUGGGUGUUGGAAAGAUUUAUCGGUUUUGGAUGGACUCGCGGCCUAUCAGCUUGUUGGUGAGGUAAUGGCUCACCAAGGCGACGACGGGUAGCCGGCCUGAGAGGGUGACCGGCCACACUGGGACUGAGACACGGCCCAGACUCCUACGGGAGGCAGCAGUGGGGAAUAUUGCACAAUGGGCGAAAGCCGGAUGCAGCGACGCCGCGUGAGGGAUGACGGCCUUCGGGUUUUAAACCUCUUUCAGUAGGGAAGAAGCGAAAGUGACGGUACCUGCAGAAGAAGCACCGGCUAACUACGUG
rnacentral:rRNA from 1 species